CGUACGGAGGGAGUAACUAAGUUAAGUAAGUAGACUGCUAAAACCGCAUAAGCGCACAGCAGCGCAUGCUGCAGUGUGAAAAACUCCGGCGGUACGGGAUGGGCCCGCGUCUGAUUAGCUUGUUGGCGGGGUAACGGCCCACCAAGGCAGCGAUCAGUAGCCGAUCUGAGAGGAUGGCCGGCCACAUUGGGACUGAGACACGGCCCAAACUCCUACGGGAGGCAGCAG
rnacentral:rRNA from 1 species